rnacentral:SRP_RNA from 13 species
ACGCCUAAAUCUGGUCAGGACCGGAAGGUAGCAGCCACAAGGGAUGCUUGA